GAAUAUUGGACAAUGGGCGCAAGCCUGAUCCAGCCAUGCCGCGUGUGUGAAGAAGGCCUUCGGGUUGUAAAGCACUUUUGUACGGGAAGAAAAGGCGCCGGAUAAUACCUGGCGCCGCUGACGGUACCUGCAGAAUAAGCACCGGCUAACUACGUGCCAGCAGCCGCGGUAAUACGUAGGGUGCAAGCGUUAAUCGGAAUUACUGGGCGUAAAGCGUGCGCAGGCGGUUCGGAAAGAAAGGUGUGAAAUCCCAGGGCUUAACCUUGGAACUGCACUUUUAACUACCGGGCUAGAGUAUGUCAGAGGGGGGUAGAAUUCCACGUGUAGCAGUGAAAUGCGUAGAGAUGUGGAGGAAUACCGAUGGCGAAGGCAGCCCCCUGGGAUAAUACUGACGCUCAUGCACGAAAGCGUGGGGAGCAAA
rnacentral:rRNA from 1 species